UACGUAGGUGACAAGCGUUGUCCGGAUUUACUGGGCGUAAAGGGCGCGCAGGCGGUCGAUCAAGUCGAGUGUGAAAGCCCCCGGCUCAACUGGGGAGGGUCACGCGAUACUGAUCGACUCGAAGGCAGGAGAGGGUAGUGGAAUUCCCGGUGUAGUGGUGAAAUGCGUAGAUAUCGGGAGGAACACCAGUGGCGAAGGCGACUACCUGGCCUGUUCUUGAUGCUGAGGCGCGAAAGCUAGGGGAGCAAACGGG
rnacentral:rRNA from 1 species